GACGUAGGGCGCGAGCGUUGUCCGGAUUUCUUGGGCGUAAAGAGCUCGUAGGCGGCUUGUCACGUCGGGUGUGAAAGCCCGGGGCUUAACCCCGGGUCUGCAUUCGAUACGGGCUAGCUAGAGUGUGGUAGGGGAGAUCGGAAUUCCUGGUGUAGCGGUGAAAUGCGCAGAUAUCAGGAGGAACACCGGUGGCGAAGGCGGAUCUCUGGGCCAUUACUGACGCUGAGGAGCGAAAGCGUGGGGAGCGAACAGG
rnacentral:rRNA from 1 species